UACGGGGGGUGCGAGCGUUGUCCGGAAUCACUGGGCGUAAAGGGCGCGUAGGUGGCUUUGUAAGUUUGCGGUGAAAGCCCGGGGCUCAACCCCGGGUCUGCCGUGAAUACUGCAAGGCUUGAGUACUGUAGAGGCAGGUAGAAUAUCGGGUGUAGCGGUGGAAUGCGUAGAGAUCCGAUAGAAGACCGGUGGCGAAGGCGGCCUGCUGGGCAGUAACUGACACUGAGGCGCGACAGCGUGGGGAGCAAACAGG
rnacentral:rRNA from 2 species